GAUGGAAUCGGCGUAACUUAGUGGCGGACGGGUGAGUAACGCGUGGGAAACCUGCCCUGUACCGGGGGAUAACACUUAGAAAUAGGUGCUAAUACCGCAUAAGCGCACAGCUUCACAUGAGGCAGUGUGAAAAACUCCGGUGGUACAGGAUGGUCCCGCGUCUGAUUAGCCAGUUGGCAGGGUAACGGCCUACCAAAGCGACGAUCAGUAGCCGGCCUGAGAGGGUGAACGGCCACAUUGGGACUGAGACACGGCCCAAACUCCUACGGGAGGCAGCAGUGGGGAAUAUUGCACAAUGGGGGAAACCCUGAUGCAGCGACGCCGCGUGAGUGAAGAAGUAUUUCGGUAUGUAAAGCUCUAUCAGCAGGGAAGAAAAUGACGGUACCUGACUAAGAAGCCCCGGCUAACUACGUGCCAGCAGCCGCGGUAAUACGUAGGGGGCAAGCGUUAUCCGGAUUUACUGGGUGUAAAGGGAGCGUAGACGGCAUGACAAGCCAGAUGUGAAAACCCAGGGCUCAAACCUGGGACUGCAUUUGGAACUGCCAGGCUGGAGUGCAGGAGAGGUAAGCGGAAUUCCUAGUGUAGCGGUGAAAUGCGUAGAUAUUAGGAGGAACACCAG
rnacentral:rRNA from 1 species